rnacentral:rRNA from 1 species
UAGCCGUAAACGAUACUCGCUAGGUGUCGGCCACGGUGCGACCGUUGUCGGUGCCGUAGGGAAGCCGUGAAGCGAGCCACCUGGGAAGUACGGCCGCAAGGCUGAAACUUAAAGGAAUUGGCGGGGGAGCACGACAACGGGUGGAGCUUGCGAUUUAAUUGGAUUCAACGCCGGAAAUCUUACCGGGACCGACAGCAACAUGAAGGCCAGGCUGAAGACUUUGCCGGAUUAGCUGAGAGGAGGUGCAUGGCGUAGUCGUGU